CCUACGGGAGGCUGCAGUGGGGAAUAUUGCACAAUGGGCGAAAGCCUGAUGCAGCGACGCCGCGUGAGGGAUGACGGCCUUCGGGUUGUAAACCUCUUUCAGUAGGGAAGCGGUACCUGCAGAAGAAGCACCGGCUAACUACGUGCCAGCAGCCGCGGUAAUACGUAGGGUGCGAGCGUUAUCCGGAAUUAUUGGGCGUAAAGAGCUCGUAGGCGGUUUGUCGCGUCUGUCGUGAAAGUCCGGGGCUUAACCCCGGAUCUGCGGUGGGUACGGGCAGACUAGAGUGCAGUAGGGGAGACUGGAAUUCCUGGUGUAGCGGUGGAAUGCGCAGAUAUCAGGAGGAACACCGAUGGCGAAGGCAGGUCUCUGGGCUGUACUGACGCUGAGGAGCGAAAGCAUGGGGAGCGAACAGGAUUAGAUACCCUUGUAGUC
rnacentral:rRNA from 1 species